rnacentral:rRNA from 1 species
GACGAACGCUGGCGGCGUGCUUAACACAUGCAAGUCGAGCGGAAAGGCCCUUCGGGGUACUCGAGCGGCGAACGGGGGAGUAACACGUGAGUAACCUGCCCCAGACUUUGGGAUAACCCUCGGAAACGGGGGCUAAUACCGCAUACGACACAGCUUCGCAUGGGGUCUGUGUGGAAAGUUUUUCGGUUUCGGAUGGGCGCGGGGCCUAUCAUCUUGUUGGUGGGGUGAUGGCCUAACAAGGCGACGACGGGUAGCCGGCCUGGAAGGGCGACAGGCCACACUGGGACAGGGGCAGGGGCAGGGGUCCAAAGGGGAGCAGGGGUGGGGAAUAUUGCCAAAUGGGCGGAGGGCUGGUGGAGGGACGCCGGGUGGGGAAUGACGGCCUUCGGGUUGUAAGCGACUUUAGGCAGGGACGAAGCGUAAGUGACGGUACCUGCAGAGGAGGCGCCGGCAAACUACGU